rnacentral:rRNA from 1 species
UACGGGGGGAGCGAACGUUGUUCGGAAUCACUGGGCGUAAAGGGCGUGUAGGCGGCUGAAUAAGUGGGAUGUUAAAUCCCCCGGCUCAACCGGGGACCUGCAUCUCAUACUGUUCAGCUCGAGCACAUCAGAGGAGACUGGAAUUCCCGGUGUAGCGGUGAAAUGCGUAGAUAUCGGGAGGAACGCCGGUGGCGAAAGCGAUUCUCUGGUCCUUUCCUGACACUGAGGCGCGAAAGCUAGGGGAGCAAACAGG